rnacentral:rRNA from 1 species
GUGAAGAAAAGUUGAAAAGUACUUUGAAGAGUUAACGAGUACGUGAAACCGUUCAGAGGUAAACCUAAGAAACCCAAAAAAUCGAACGGGGAGAUUCAUCGUCAACGAAACUGGCUUCGCGUCGGUGGGCGAUAACCCCGCGGUGUGUCCUAAGCGGCACGCGCGUGCGGGCACGUUACCGAACGCCGAUGUCCGGUUUUCGUCGUCGUGCACUUCUCUCCUAGUAGAACGUCGCGACUCGCUGUGUGUCGGUCACCGACCCGGGUGCGGUUACUG